ACCUACACCACAGCUCACGGCAACGCCAGAUCCUUAACCCACUGAACUAGGUCAGGGAUCGAACCUGCAUCCUCAUGGAUGCUAGUCAGAUUUGUUUCUGCUAAGCCACGAUGGGAACUCCACUGAUUUCUAUUCUUGUAUGCCUUAGUUUCUCCUACUCAUGCUCUCUUCGUGCGCAUGCCGUUACUGGACUUUGCAUGCCCAGUUACUUCCUUUUGAACUGAAUUAAACACUGACUUAUUCUGUGUUCCUGAGCUUUAGGCUCUCGUUUGGUCAAUGAACAUCAUAAUACCUUCUCCAUGUUCUUCGGAAGGAGUGUCCAGAGCCUGAUACAAACUGAUGCUGAAUCUUCAUCCUCUGGCAUGAUUCUAGUUGGGGACCAUCGUUUUCCAGCCCUAGUUGCUGCUGAGGUAUGUGGGAAUUGCUCUUUUCCAUCUUGCGCAAACUAUCGUAACAGCACAGAGUCAUUAGCACUGCCUAUUUGUGCCUCUCGAGCAUUACAGUUUUUAACUCUCUUUGGCAUUGGGCAGAGAAAGGAGCCAAUGAAAGAAGCAUGUUGACUUUGCCUGCUGCCUCCAGGGCCACCUUAUUCCACGAGGAUGUGAAAUCAGCAUUCUUGGAAUGACUAUUUCCAUUCUUUGCCUAAACAUUCUUCUCUAUAGUGAAUUUCAGAGGGAAGAGAUACAGACAACUAAUUUCUUUAGGGUUAGUCUGCCUAACAGAAGACUUUUACUGAAGAAAGGCUAACAGCUACAUUUAAGUAUUCGUGUGUCAAGGACCUGGAGAGAGGUGAGUUGGAAAUAGUAAAGGCACGAGAAGUGGUGAGUUAAGAACAUGGGUUCUGCAGCCUGGGUUAUUAUUCUGGCUUUACUAACUUUCUUGCUGGGUGACGUUAGGUAAGUUAGCUCUCCUGUCUGAGGAUGAAAAGAGGUAAUCAGCUCUGUUAGUAUCUAUACUGGUGGGAGCAUAGAUCUUUGGUUUAUUCCCCAAAUGUACUCUGAAUGCCCAGAGAAGUCCUUUGCACCUAGUAGGUGCUUGGUUGAUGUUUUUUGAAGGAAUAGCUUCCUCCCAGAGUGACAGAAAAUACAUAAGCCUGUCUCUAAGUUUCUUCAAAGCGUUCCUGCUCAUUCUCAGAAGGUCCUGCAUUAUUGGAAUGUCCUUACUGUUCUCCAAUAGUUAAAUGACCUCGUGUUUUGUUUAUUAUGCCAGACAAAAAUUAGCGGCCCAGUUAAGAGCCUAAACGCUUGGUGGACUUUCUCAUCGUCUAAAGUGUUUAUUGACCUGAAUGAAAGUAGGUGCAACAAUUUGAAGCUUCGACCAAAUUCGGUCUUUUUAAAAAUUUUACAGUUUACAAAACAAGAUGUUUUAUGGAUGGAGUUUAUACAUUGACUAGAAGAGGGCUAUUCCCAAUAUUGUCUUUAUCUUCUAGACAUAAAUAACAAACAACUCCAGGAAUCAAAAUUUACUACAAUCGUAAUAGAUUUUGGCAGAGUUUUUGUAUUGUGUGCAAUGCUGACAUAAUGCUACUUCCAAGGAUAGAGGGCAGGAUUUCUAGUUUGGCUUUGUUAAAUGGAAGAAAAAAAAAAUCCACUACUGUAUUUAGUUUUUACUACAUUCAAUAGAUUAAUUUUUAUAAAUAAAACUCUUUCUACUGGCUUCUAAUCAGAAAAUUGAAAUUAUCUGUGGCAAUGUAACCACUAACAACUUGUAUACUAUGAAAAUAUUUCAAUAAUUAAUGCAUGCUCCAUCUAAAGUAAUUGACAGGAGGUCAUAAACGUAAUGGGCCAUCUGUGUUUGAUUUGUACAUGAAAAUGCUUAAAGGGAUAGGCAGGUAGUUCAAGCUUCCCUGGCACAAAGAGAUUUGUUCCAAUUUCUUCAAGUAGCAGAGACACUUACUAUAGGGUGUUUUCCUUUCUUUUUUCUUAAAGUCUUUUCCAGAUUUCUACUUGAGCUCUGCAUUUCUCAGUGCUUCUCAUUCUAAUGCAAUCAUCUCGUUGAGAGUUUUGAGUAUAUGUGGAUCACAGGCAUCCUCAACAAUCAUACUAGGCUCUCUUAACCAUUUCAAUAGCAACCUAAAAACCAUAGUGCAAUUAAAAAAUGUCAGAGGCUCACUCCAAGGUUCUGACUAUCAUUCGUUCUGCUUAAUCCGACCACUUCAAAACUUUCCAAGUUUUUCCUCUUCUGUUGGUAAACAAACAACUAUGCUUAUAUCUAUUAACAAAGAGUAAUAGGACCAUUAGGAAUCUUAGUAUGAGUUUUGUAAUUCACUUCUUUGGGGGUGGACCAGAAUCAUCUUAUUUCUGGAAGUAAAAUGGUCAGAAGAAGUUCUAGAAUUUUCAGUGUGGGGAAACCAAAGAGCAUUGAAUAAUUGCCUAGAACACUGUCCUGAGAUCUAGCCCCAGUUCAUCUAAGAACACAUAUUCAACUGGAAUUUCCUGAGCAUUUAUCAUCUGUCAGAUAUUGUGCUAGGUAGUGAUUAUGUUGAAAGCCACGUGCUGAUUGGUUGAACUAAACCAGCAAGAUCCCUGCCCUCAGGGAUCUUACUUUCCAGUAGAUGCAACUUCUUCCUUUGAUAUCUUGCAGGCACUAUAAACACUAUGCCUAGGAGACUAAAUGUACUGCCUCUCCUGACCACCCCUCCUCCCUCUGCACUGCCUAUUUUGGGAAAAUGUGCCAACCAUCUACCCAGUUGCCCAAGGCAAGAACCUACAAUUAUCCUAGACUCUCCCACUUUCUCUUUUACCAAAGCAAUUCAUAAUUUCUGUCAAUGUCAAUUCCUUACCAUUGCUUGCCUCUACUUCUGUCUCUCCAUCUCUAGAGUUACCCUCUGAACUCACUUCUUAAUCCUUUUUGGUCUGGAAUAUUGCAACAGCUUCCAGUGUUACUUUCUAACUAAUCUAGUCCUUAUAGAUUAUGAAUUAUGUGGCAUUCUAUAUAAUGCUAUGUGACUGAAUUAAAAAAAAACAACAACCCCACUACCCAAUUAUUCAUCAAUUUGACAUUGCAAAGGGAUAAUAUCUAGGUGUUUAACAGAAGUUUUUAUUUUUUCAGAUACAUUUUUGCUUUUUAACAGGCGCAACCCCUUUCUCUCUCUCACAGAAGUAAACUCCAGCU